GACGAACGCUGGCGGCGUGCUUAACACAUGCAAGUCGAACGGAAAGGCCUUUUCGGAGGUACUCGAGUGGCGAACGGGUGAGUAACACGUGGGUGAUCUGCCCUGCACUCUGGGAUAAGCCUGGGAAACUGGGUCUAAUACCGGAUAGGACCGCACUUUAGCGUGUGUGGGGGAAAGUGUUUUCGGUGUAGGAUGAGCCCGCGGCCGAUCAGCUUGUUGGUGGGGUAAUGGCCUACCAAGGCGGCGACGGGUAGCCGGACUGGGAGGUUGGUCGGCCACAGUGGGACUGAGAUACGGCCCAGACUCCUACGGGAGGCAGCAGUGGGGAAUGUUGCACAAUGGGCGCGAGCCUGAUGCAGCGACGCCGCGUGGGGGAUGACGGCCUUCGGGUUGUAAACUCCUUUCGCCAGGGACGAAGCGUUUUGUGACGGUACCUGGAGAAGAAGCACCGGCUAACUACGUG
rnacentral:rRNA from 1 species